rnacentral:rRNA from 1 species
UACGGGGGGAGCAAGCGUUGGUCGGAUUUACUGGGCGUAAAGGGCGCGUAGGCGGUCAGCACAAGUCAGUUGUGAAAUCUCCGGGCUUAACUCGGAAAGGUCAACUGAUACUGUGCGACUAGAGUGCAGAAGGGGCAACUGGAAUUCUCGGUGUAGCGGUGAAAUGCGUAGAUAUCGAGAGGAACACCUGCGGCGAAGGCGGGUUGCUGGGCUGACACUGACGCUGAUGCGCGAAAGCCAGGGGAGCGAACGGG